rnacentral:rRNA from 1 species
GGCAGAGGAUGCAAGCGUUAUCCGGAAUGAUUGGGCGUAAAGCGUCUGUAGGUGGCUUUUUAAGUCUGCUGUCAAAUCCCAGGGCUUAACCCUGGACAGGCGGUGGAAACUACCAAGCUGGAGUACGGUAGGGGCAGGGGGAAUUUCCGGUGGAGCGGUGAAAUGCGUAGAUAUCGAGAGGAACACCGGUGGCGAAGGCGAGUCCCUGGUCCGCAACUGACGCUGAGGCGCGAAAGCGUGGGUAGCAAACAGG